UCAGCGAGAAAGCGUUGCCGCAGGCAACGACCCGAAGGGCGAAGCGCGCAGCGCUGAGUCAUCCUUCCCCCACCACCA
rnacentral:sRNA from 11 species